GGCUAGCCUCAAGUGAUGAUUAUUGGAGGUAGAGCACUGUUUGGACGAGGGGCCCCUCUCGGGUUACCGAAUUCAGACAAACUCCGAAUGCCAAUUAAUUUAACUUGGGAGUCAGAACAUGGGUGAUAAGGUCCGUGUUCGAAAGGGAAACAGCCCAGACCACCAGCUAAGGUCCCAAAAUAUAUGUUAAGUGGAAAAGGAUGUGGCGUUGCCCAGACAACUAGGAUGUUGGCUUAGAAGCAGCCAUCAUUUAAAGAGUGCGUAAUAGCUCACUAGUCGAGUGACACUGCGCCGAAAAUGUACCGGGGCUAAACAUAUUACCGAAGCUGUGGAUUGUCCUUUGGACAAUGGUAGGAGAGCGUUCUAAGGGCGUUGAAGCAUGAUCGUAAGGACAUGUGGAGCGCUUAGAAGUGAGAAUGCCGGUGUGAGUAGCGAAAGACGGGUGAGAAUCCCGUCCACCGAUUGACUAAGGUUUCCAGAGGAAGGCUCGUCCGCUCUGGGUUAGUCGGGUCCUAAGCUGAGGCCGACAGGCGUAGGCGAUGGAUAACAGGUUGAUAUUCCUGUACCACCUAUAAUCGUUUUAAUCGAUGGGGGGACGCAGUAGGAUAGGCGAAGCGUGCGAUUGGAUUGCACGUCUAAGCAGUAAGGCUGAGUAUUAGGCAAAUCCGGUACUCGUUAAGGCUGAGCUGUGAUGGGGAGAAGACAUUGUGUCUUCGAGUCGUUGAUUUCACACUGCCGAGAAAAGCCUCUAGAUAGAAAAUAGGUGCCCGUACCGCAAACCGACACAGGUAGUCAAGAUGAGAAUUCUAAGGUGAGCGAGCGAACUCUCGUUAAGGAACUCGGCAAAAUGACCCCGUAACUUCGGGAGAAGGGGUGCUCUUUAGGGUUAACGCCCAGAAGAGCCGCAGUGAAUAGGCCCAAGCGACUGUUUAUCAAAAACACAGGUCUCUGCUAAACCGUAAGGUGAUGUAUAGGGGCUGACGCCUGCCCGGUGCUGGAAGGUUAAGAGGAGUGGUUAGCUUCUGCGAAGCUACGAAUCGAAGCCCCAGUAAACGGCGGCCGUAACUAUAACGGUCCUAAGGUAGCGAAAUUCCUUGUCGGGUAAGUUCCGACCCGCACGAAAGGCGUAACGAUUUGGGCACUGUCUCAACGAGAGACUCGGUGAAAUCAUAGUACCUGUGAAGAUGCAGGUUACCCGCGACAGGACGGAAAGACCCCGUGGAGCUUUACUGUAGCCUGAUAUUGAAAUUCGGCACAGCUUGUACAGGAUAGGUAGGAGCCUUUGAAACGUGAGCGCUAGCUUACGUGGAGGCGCUGGUGGG
rnacentral:rRNA from 1 species